GAUGAACGCUGGCGGCGUGCCUAAUACAUGCAAGUCGAGCGAAUGGAUUAAGAGCUUGCUCUUAUGAAGUUAGCGGCGGGCGGGUGAGUAACACGUGGGUAACCUGCCCAUAAGACUGGGAUAACUCCGGGAAACCGGGGCUAAUACCGGAUAACAUUUUGAACCGCAUGGUUCGAAAUUGAAAGGCGGCUUCGGCUGUCACUUAUGGAUGGACCCGCGUCGCAUUAGCUAGUUGGUGAGGUAACGGCUCACCAAGGCCACGAGGGGUAGCCGACAUGGGAGGGUGAUCGGCCACACUGGGACUGAGACACGGCCCAGACUCCUACGGGAGGCAGCAGGAGGGAAUCUUCCGCAAUGGACGAAAGUCUGACGGAGAAACGCGGCGUGAGUGAUGAAGGCUUUCGGGUCGUAAAACUCUGUUGUUAGGGAAGAACAAGUGCUAGUUGAAUAAGCUGGCACCUUGACGGUACCUAACCAGAAAGCCACGGCUAACUACGUGCCAGCAGCCGCCGUAA
rnacentral:rRNA from 1 species